AGGGCCCGCGUGUCAUAGGGGCGGGGGGGGAGGGGCGGCCCGCUGCGCCCCUCUUUCGGUGCAAGGCGAGGACGUCCUCGUGGCUGAGGCGGAGGCGGUCGGCUUGACAAAGAGCUGUUUCUGAGACUACGAGCAUCCGUAUUUAUUUAUCACUAAGGAAGAAAGACAAAGGCUGGGAAGAUGGCUCAGUAAAGUACUUGCCACACAAGCAUGAGGACCUGAACUUGAUCCCCGCCACUGACCACACAAAAAGCUAAAAAGCGACAUCCAGCUUCAAGUGCCUGUAAUUCUAACACUGAGGAGAUGGAGACAGAGGUUCCCUGGAGCUUACUAGCUACGUGGUAUGGCUGAAUAAGUGAGCUUCACGAUCAGUGUCUCAUCAGAUCAUAAUUAUGUUCUUAUUAAAGACUGGACUCUGGAGCAUCUAAAUUUGAAUACUUGCACUUGCGCAGCUGCAGUCCUUCUACAGUUCCUGUAAUGACAUCUACUGGAGGACCUCCUAAGUGCUAACAUCUUGAUAGUGAGUGGCCUUUGGACUAAAGGAGCUCAUGCUUUUGCAACGGAGACAGAUGGAAUGAAUGAGUUAGUAAAGG